CAGGGAGGCGUCACGCAGUACAAAUAUAUUUGAAAUUCUGGUAUUGGCGCUAUUUUUGAGACAGCGCCAUAAAUUGCGGCUAGUCUGCGAAACUGAAAUUUCGCGUCAAUCGGAGCAAGCAAGAAACGUCAGUUGGAGUUUUGCGCGAAAAUGUUUGCGAAUCUGUUUUUAAUAAUAUCGUGCAAAUUUAGUGAAAAAACAAUAAGGUGCGUGCCGUGGAUGCAAUGAUGGAUUGUCUGGAGGAAUACUGCAGGAGGAAAUUUAGAAACAAUCCCUUAAAAUUGUCUUUCUACAGUUUCCGAUCUGAUUAAAUUUCAGAAAGUUUGGAAGCACCACUUGGAAAUUGAAGGAAAUAUCUUCAAAAGCAACCGUAUGUGAUUUUGCAGUUUGAGGAAAAGAUUUUGAUCCGCAAAAGCAUGGCAAGAAAAUGAAAAAUAUUUUAAAAAGGGGGCCGUUCCAAAGACAUUAAAUUCUAUAACAGGAAUUAGUUCUCCAUUGAUAAAUCAGACCAGAGUCAGUGAGAAGAACUGUACAGACUGUAUACUCAAAUUUGCUUGACAUAACCAUGGAACUAGAAUGCUUCGUGAACAACUGAAAAAAGGAAGCAGGAUGAAGACCGUUAUUGGAAAGUGUGUGACAUGAACAAAUUAUCACCAUGGGGAGAUUAUAAUCAUAGAUGCGCAGAAGCAUACACAUUAAGAAAAAAAGAGACAUUAAGGUUCGAAUGAUGUGUCAAGAUCGUCAAGAUUGAUGAAUUUCUAAAAGGACAGCACAACAAAAACACAUUCCUUACACAGGCAGAACAGUUGAAUUAAUUUUUCGGUCAUUCAUAAUAUGAGAAUUAAUAAAAUUUAAAAUUACAAGAUAAAAUUAAUUUAUAAAUAAUAAAUUGAAUGUAUAUAGCAAGUAUAUUGCUUAGUACAAAAAAGUUUUAGGAUAGCACUGCAGUUUAAUUAAGAUUUAAUUUUGUCAUAUUUGAAAAAAAAAAUUAUUAUAAUACAUCAACUGGCUAACCUCACAAAUUAACUUUCAUAAUUCUUUGAGAUUUUUCCAAUAUUAUCUUUCUGUGCUUUAAGUUCUUAGCUAUCUGCAGAUUUAAACUCAAAACAUCGCAAUGAUGUUGUCAAACGUAUAUGUUUUUUAUCGUAUUUUGAAAAGGGAUGAUGUUAAAUAAUUUUUUUUUCAAAAACCAUUAAUCUUAAAUAAAAAUUUGUAAAUUUUAACUUUUUAGUGUUCUUUAAUAUUUUGAAGUUAGCGAAAUACAUGCCUUUGAUAAAUUGUAUGAUUUCGCUACAUAUCUAAUUGCUUUCAAGUUACUAUUUUUUUAAGUUAACGUGUAUAGCAAUUCGCUGUAAUUUAUAUAAAUAAAGUUUUUAAUUAAAAUAA